GAGGAACCUGGCAUUCAGAUCAGAAUAACAUCAAAUAAUGUUUUUUAUGUUGAUAAACACAGAACGUUAUCCUUACACACAGCAUCAAUUAUGUUGGAGGCCCAUUCGAGUGGAGCAGCUCUUCUCGUCGACCUGCCCUCCUCGUCAGCAGCUAUGUCUCCCAAUGCUCCGAGGCGUAAGAGGAUAACAAUGACACACAGAAUCCUCAUAUCCCGAAAAUAUUAUCCCGACUUUACCACACCGAUGCUGGAACUAGUUUAAGUUUUGCAAGUAUAGGAAUUAUCGCUAGUAAAGCGGCCAUUGUUCGCUGGUUUUAUUGUUCCCAACCUGAACUCAAAAAUAUUGUUUACAUACCCACUGAAAUAUUCAUACACUGAGUAAAUGAGAGUGCUCUAGUUAUUUCCAUUAAAAAGUCAUGUUUUAUUAACCCAAAUGCUGAGCAGGCCAAGUUUAAGUUACGAACUUAUUAUGUGCAGAUUUUUGUCUAGUUCGCGUUCAGCCUUUCUCCGAAAUGGUCAAACAAAGUUUCCACUUACAUAUAUUUCAAAUUAGCUUAAAAAGGUACAACUAUAGAACUUAACUUAGAAAAGCGCAGCUAGGCGCCAUGCAGUUUAGAUAUAUCUUCGUAUUGCACGUUGUCUACAAUUCUGCCUUU
rnacentral:sRNA from 1 species